GCCCGUCUAGCUUAGUUGGUAGAGCACAAGGCUUUUAACCGGUUGUGGGUUCGAGCCCCACGGUGGACG
rnacentral:tRNA from 1 species